CACGGUAAACGAUGGAUGCCCGCUGUGUGGCAUUAUUGUUACGCGGCCAAGGGAAACCAUUAAGCGUCCCACCUGGGGAGUACGCCGGCAACGGUGAAACUCAAAGGAAUUGACGGGGGCCCGCACAAGCGGAGGAACAUGUGGUUUAAUUCGAUGAUACGCGAGGAACCUUACCCGGGCUUGAACUGCACAGGAAGGAUACAGAGAUGUUGACGCCCUUCGGGGCCUGUGUGGAGGUGCUGCAUGGUUGUCGUCAGCUCGUGCCGUGAGGUGUCGGCUUAAGUGCCAUAACGAGCGCAACCCUUCUCGCGAGUUACCAUCAGGUGAUGCUGGGGACUCUCGCGACACUGCCACCGUAAGGUGUGAGGAAGGUGGGGAUGACGUCAAAUCAGCACGGCCCUUACGUCCGGGGCUACACACGUGUUACAAUGGCGCGUACAGAGGGCAGGCAUACGGCGACGUGUGUCGAAUCCUUAAAACGCGUCUCAGUUCGGACUGGGGUCUGCAACCCGACC
rnacentral:rRNA from 1 species